UAGCAAACGAGGUUUUAAUUAGAAAUCCUUCUCAUAUUUGUAUCAGCGAAAUUAAAUUAUCCGACGCUGCAACGUAAUUAAAACGUAAUUCGAAUCGAAAUUGAGGCAUCGAAAAUAAGUAAGAUAUGUUCCUUCUGCGUCUUUCGAGAUGCAUCUAAGCUGAAUUCUCUUUUCCAGGUAACAUGCAUUUCCUACCUCUGUCUCUGAAGGUCACUUAAAAGGCAAGCAAUUAAUUUCCCCCUAGCUGACAAAUACGGAUUGGUGUUAUGGAUAACAAAAAUGGAUUGGCGAAUUGAAAAUUCCUCGAUCACAUGAUGGAGAUAUGUG